UCUCAAAGAAGUUUACAACGAUAAACCUCAAAAUACUGAUGUGUUUCCUGCUGGUAUUGGUGAAAACCCACGAGAUAAAAGCUUUGUUCCACAUAUUCCCAGAAGUAAACAACGCUUUUCACGAUAUGAAACACCAGAUGACUUGCCAGAUCCAAUACUUGGACCGACUUUUACAUGUUUAGUGAUCGAUCAAUUCGAGCGUGUUCGUGACGGAGACAGAUUUUACUAUGAAAGGAGAGGCAUUUUUACAUCUCGUCAACGUAGAGCUAUCAAUCAACGUAAGCUGUCUGACGUUGUCUGUAACAACGUGGAUGUUGUGUCAGUUCAAAGAGAUGCUUUUCUUACUAAUUACAAGAAUGUCUGCGACUCAAGCAGGGUAUUGAAUCUCAAACCUUGGCAAGAAUUCCCAAAAGCCUGUUUCCCAAAUCCCUGCAAAAAUGGUGGAUCUUGUAGGAUAAAGCGCAGAAGAAAACAAUCAAGAGGCAGAAGAGGUCUUCCUACUUGUAGAUGCUUGUUUGGAUUUGCAGGUCGAUGGUGUCAAAACAAAAAAAGUCAAUUCAAAAGGACAUGAUUUAUUACAAAGAUUGAUGACAUAAAAUUAACUUGAUUUAUAAUAUAUAUUUCUUUUUUCAUGUCUGAACCAUUAAUUAUUAAGUUUGUGCAUUUUACAGUUUACGUCAUUGUAUUAUAAUAUAAAUAAUUUAACUUUGCUGUGCAGAAAAUUUAGUCAUUACGAAAGUUUUUGUGUCAUUUGUAACUAUAUCUAAGUUUUAGCUACAAUAUAAAUGGCAGCUUUCUUCAAGCCAUUUAUUUAAGCGCUGGCCAACCAGCAAGUUAUGUUUUUUUUCACUUUGAGUCAAAGAGACAUUUAGUUUUAAUAUAGUUGUUUAUAAAUAUGGUUCUAUCAAAUUAAAGAUAUUUAAUUAUAUCAA